rnacentral:lncRNA from 1 species
GCGCCAAGGGUGUUGCCAGCGCCCGUGUAGAAGUCUGGGGCACAGGAGACCACAGUCUUUAUUGCACCGACACUUGCCUUGGUAGCCACUUCCAUCCCAAGUGGUUACCUAACUCAUCACAUCUCCCUCGGGCAUUAGUGGCACCCGACGGGGUUUUCAAAAAGUCUUAGAAAUCACCGUUGCUUUUAACACAUGCAUAAACCCGUCCCAUUUGUGUACCAACUAGUUUAGCAUCAUGUCUACUUCGCACCCGCACAAGUAUAUUCAUGUCAUGCAAGUACCAAUGAGAAAUAAUGGGACAACCCAUAAAGGUGGUCACCAUAGUCAUCGUGAUUCAAUGCAACAAAGUAGAUGAUAUAUGCCAUGGAAAAAGGGUUUCAAGUUGUGGUC